rnacentral:rRNA from 1 species
GACGAACGCUGGCGGCGUGCUUAACACAUGCAAGUCGAACGGUGAAGCGCCUUCCUUUUUGGUGGGUGUGGAUGCGUGGCGAACGGGUGAGUAACACGUGAGUAACCUGCCCCCUUCUUCUGGAUAACCGCAUGAAAGCGUGGCUAAUACGGGAUAUUCUGUGUCUGUCGCAUGAUGGGUCUGGGAAAGAUAUUGUUUCGGUGGGGGAUGGGCUCGCGGCCUAUCAGCGUGUGGGGGGGGGGAUGGCCUACCAAGGGGGUGACGGGUAGCCGGCGUGAGAGGGUGGACGGCCCCGCUGGGGCAGAGACACGGCCCGGACUCCGACGCGGGGCAGCAGUGGGGAAUAUUUCACAGUGGGCGCAAGCCUGAUGCAGCGCCGCCGCGGGAGGGAUGGAGGCGUGCGGGGUGUGAAGCUCUUUCGCCAGUGAAGCAGGCCGGCCUCGGAUGUUGGGGGGCUGACGGUAGCUGGAUAAGAAGCGCCGGCUAACUACGUG